rnacentral:rRNA from 2 species
GGUCCUAAAACUCCUGCUUGUUGGAGAAGAAUGUUCCGGCAGAGUAUCCGUUGCCGGCUUGACUGUAUACCAACCGUAAUGCCACGGCUAAUUACGUGCCAGCAUCCGCGGUCAGACGUCUGUCGCAAGCGUUAUCCGGAUUUAUUGGGCGUAAAGCGAGCGCAGGCGGUUUUUUAAGUCUGAUGUGAAAGCCCUCGGCUUAACCGAGGAAGCGCAUCGGAAACUGGGAAACUUGAGUGCAGAAGAGGACAGUGGAACUCCAUGUGUAGCGGUGAAAUGCGUAGAUAUAUGGAAGAACACCAGUGGCGAAGGCGGCUGUCUGGUCUGUAACUGACGCUGAGGCUCGAAAGCAUGGGUAGCGAACAGGAUUAGAUACCCUGGUAGUCCAUGCCGUAAACGAUGAAUGCUAGGUGUUGGAGGGUUUCCGCCCUUCAGUGCCGCAGCUAACGCAUUAAGCAUUCCGCCUGGGGAGUACGACCGCAAGGUUGAA